AAUCUUCUGCUAUUCUUUUAUGAAAAGCAUCUUCUGUAGCCUUUAGAUUUUGUAUUUUGGCGUCACACAUAUUACAUGUAUUAAACAUAUUUGAAAAUAAAGUAGCCUUCUAUAGGCUCUUUUUCUACUUCCUUCUUCAUUCAAUCUGUGCAACCGUGUAACAAUUUUUUUUUAUUAUAUUUUGUUUGCUUGUUAUUUCUUAAACCACUUAUGAAUGCUAACCAGCAAGGGUUAAAACUGAUGUUGACUCAAGUUUGAUCACUGAUGAGUCGUGG
rnacentral:lncRNA from 1 species